CAGUCGCCGCGGUAAUACGAAGGGGGCUAGCGUUGUUCGGAAUCACUGGGCGUAAAGCGCACGUAGGCGGACUUUUAAGUCAGGGGUGAAAUCCCAAGGCUCAACCUUGGAACUGCCUUUGAUACUGGAAGUCUUGAGUUCGGGAGAGGUGAGUGGAACUGCGAGUGUAGAGGUGAAAUUCGUAGAUAUUCGCAAGAACACCAGUGGCGAAGGCGGCUCACUGGCCCGAUACUGACGCUGAGGUGCGAAAGCGUGGGGAGCAAACAGGAUUAGAUACCCGUGUAGUCCCUGUCUCUUAUAU
rnacentral:rRNA from 1 species